GGAAGAAGCACACAAUGCGUCUGGACGAAUAGUGAGGAGACAGCGGUAUUGGAAAGGAACAGCAGCAUGGAGAACACUCUUGGGAGUAGUCUAAGGUUGACUGCAGGAACAAAGGAACAGGUGAGCGAUCUUUUUGUAGCCCUGCCAGGACACACUCAAGUUCCACUAGCGUUCUACUUACCGUUGUCCCAAGGUUCGAGGUCCAGCAUCCGGGUCCGGAGAUACUUACCACAGCACGGAGGGUUGAGGUCCAGCGCCGGUCUCCAGCAUGCCAUGUCAGGGUUCCAGGAACGGUGGCGAGAGAGAAAGGAGACACGCAGGGUUUAAAGAUAAGGUUCAUCGAAGGUGUUGGCCGGUUGGAGGUCCGUGUGGUAGGCGUGGUGAGGUCUGCGGCGGGUUUGGGCUGCGAGGGAAGCGGACGUCGGGGAGAGGGGUCUCUUGGGACCCCCUCCCGGAGCUAUCAGAGACUGAUUCCUUCUUUUUGGCUUAUCCGCCAUUUUGGACGGUAACCUUUCCUUUAAGAGAACUACCAACAGGAGGUGACUGCCUGGUGUGGUUUUUAUUUUUUUGUGGCUUUCCCUAUCUUUUUUUUUUUUUUUUCGAAUUUGUUGCUGUGUGGUUUUUAGUAUUCUAUUUUAACCCUGUUGAGAAACAAUAAAAAAAGUUUUUACCUAUCCAAGCACCCAGUGUGUGUACUGGAACCCUGGGAUAAAAAGAACCUGCAGAGGGGAAAUUACUAUCUACUCAUCAAGGUCCUUGUCCUUGCCAAACCCAAGGUGGUGUAAUCAUUACAAAUUCUAAAAGCAGGUUUACUAUGGUUACCCCUGGUCACCCCACCCGUGACACGAACAGCGCUUUUUCAUACCCCAGUACUGCCUCUCGUGUCUAUCUUCUGGGUCUGUGAUGUCAUCCACCAGCCAACUUGCCACAAACACACAUUGAGAACAUGGGACUGCUAUGAAAAAUAGGACAUGAGACACAUGGUAGAGAAUGGUACAACUCCCCUAUACCUUUUAUAGUUACACAGACAUUAUAAGUAAACACACUCUGCCUGAUAAAUACUGGACUAUGCAGAAAACAAAUAUACUCUUCAAGCUAAAUAUUUUCUGCAUUUUGUUUCUGAAUUGCUUCAUGGGUUGUGUCUGAUCUUUAGAUAAGAAAUCUUGCUCUAUGUGAGUCAAAAUCAUUAUCAUUAUGGAAACCAGACCUGAUAGGAACAGAGGUUGUUAGUUAUUCUUUAGUCCCCUUUGAUUGCACAAUGGUGAAGUGACAUUAGAAUGGGAGUUUUUAAAUUGGGUAGAAAACGGGUAAAACUAGUUUUAAAAAAUGAAUAUAAAGCUUGUAAGGUUUUCAGGCAGGAAAUCUAAUGUGUCUUGAAUGCACUUCCUAGUACAGCACAUUUAUUCUUUGGUCAAUCUACAAGCCAAUUGCCAGCGAGUUCCCAUCAACCUAUUAGGGAGAUAAACCUAAUUUGCAAACACAGUCCUUCACCCAUUGUUUGGGUUCAAUGUUUUUGGAAAUCUGUAAGAUUUUGUAUUAUAAUAAAGAUGGUUAUUUAAUGAA